rnacentral:rRNA from 1 species
CGUGAAAUUGUUGAAAGGGAAGCGUUUAUGACCAGACUUGGACUUGGUUAAUCAUCUGGGGUUCUCCCCAGUGCACUUUUCCAGUUCAGGCCAGCAUCAGUCUUCCCCGGGGGAUAAAGGCGGCGGGAAUGUGGCUCUCUUCGGGGAGUGUUAUAGCCCGCCGUGUAAUACCCUGGGGGGGACUGAGGUUCGCGCAUCUGCAAGGAUGCUGGCGUAAUGGUCAUCAACGACCCGUCUUGAAACACGG